rnacentral:rRNA from 1 species
AGAAAUUCGAUUCCGUAAGUAGCGGCGAGCGAACGCGGAUUAGCCCAAACCAAUAAAGUUUUCUUUAUUGGGGUUGCGGACAUAUCAUAACGAAGAGGUAUCGUAAUUGAAGAGGUUUGGAAAGACCCACCACAGAAGGUAAUAGUCCUGUAUGUUAAACGAGAAGACUUUAGAUAUGAUCCAGAGUACCACGGGACACGUGAAACCCUGGGGGAAGCAGGAGGGACCACCCUCCAAGGCUAAAUACUACCUAGUGACCGAUAGCGUAUAGUACCG